rnacentral:rRNA from 1 species
AUAAGCAGCCAUAUCACCCUGCAGCCCAAGACUGGUUGUCCACUGAAGCUAAGCAGGGUUGAGCCUGGUCAGUACUUGGAUGGGAGAACUCCUGGGAAAACUAGGUUGCUGUUGGAA